UACGAAGGGGGCUAGCGUUGCUCGGAAUCACUGGGCGUAAAGCGCACGUAGGCGGACUCUUAAGUCGGGGGUGAAAUCCUGGAGCUCAACUCCAGAACUGCCUUCGAUACUGGGAGUCUUCGAGUUCGGGAGAGGUGAGUGGAACUGCGAGUGUAGAGGUGAAAUUCGUAGAUAUUCGCAAGAACACCAGUGGCGAAGGCGGCUCACUGGCCCGAUACUGACGCUGAGGUGCGAAAGCGUGGGGAGCAAACAGGAUUAGAUACCCCAGUAGUCC
rnacentral:rRNA from 1 species